rnacentral:rRNA from 1 species
AGGUAGGAAUACCCGCUGAACUUAAGCAUAUCAAUAAGCGGAGGAAAAGAAACCAACAGGGAUUGCCCUAGUAACGGCGAGUGAAGCGGCAACAGCUCAAAUUUGAAAUCUGGCUUCGGCCCGAGUUGUAAUUUGCAGAGGAUGUUUAUGGUGCGGACCUUCCGAGUUCCCUGGAACGGGACGCCACAGAGGGUGAGAGCCCCGUCUGGUUGGAUACCAAACCUGUGUUAAACUCCUUCAACGAGUCGAGUAGUUUGGGAAUGCUGCUCUAAAUGGGAGGUAAAUCUCUUCUAAAGCUAAAUACUGGCCAGAGACCGAUAGCGCACAAGUAGAGUGAUCGAAAGAUGAAAAGCACCUUGAAAAGGGGGUUAAACAGUACGUGAAAUUGUUGAAAGGGAAGCGUUUAUGACCAGACUUGUGUCGUGUGGCUCAUCCGAGGUUCUCCCCGGUGCACUCCACGCGGCUCAGGCCAACAUCGGUUCUUGUUGGAGGAUAAGAACAGUAGGAACGUAGCUCUCUUUCGGGGGAGUGUUAUAGCCUAUUGUACGAUACUCUGGCGGGGACCGAGGACCGCGCUUCGGCUAGGAUGUUGG